rnacentral:rRNA from 1 species
UGGGGAAUUUUGGACAAUGGGGGAAACCCUGAUCCAGCCAUCCCGCGUGUGCGAUGAAGGCCUUCGGGUUGUAAAGCACUUUUGGCAGGAAAGAAACGUCAUGGGUUAAUACCCCGUGAAACUGACGGUACCUGCAGAAUAAGCACCGGCUAACUACGUGCCAGCAGCCGCGGUAAUACGUAGGGUGCAAGCGUUAAUCGGAAUUACUGGGCGUAAAGCGUGCGCAGGCGGUUCGGAAAGAAAGAUGUGAAAUCCCAGAGCUCAACUUUGGAACUGCAUUUUUAACUACCGGGCUAGAGUGUGUCAGAGGGAGGUGGAAUUCCGCGUGUAGCAGUGUAAUGCGUAGAUAUGCGGAGGAACACCGAUGGCGAAGGCAGCCUCCUGGGAUAACACUGACGCUCAUGCACGAAAGCGUGGGGAGCAAACAGG